GUGAUACAGUUAUAUGCUGUAGUCAGUCAGGUUGUUAAAACCCACAAAGUCACUAAUGUGGGUUUACAAAUUGAUAUGUUCUCUUUCCAAGGUACAGUAGUGUAACUCUUCUCCCCUUUGUUCUGUUUCACACUCAGAGGUAUGAUGAUGUCUCACGGUUAUAUCCUGGUAGGUCAACUCAUUCUCAUUGGCCAGUCUCACACCAUGACAUAAAACGUUACAUGUAAAACGAUGUCAUGUGUUCGCUUACAUGUUGGCCUUUUUCCUCCACCCAUCAGACUCCAAAGGAGAGAAAGGUGAUCGUGGAGUACCAGGAAUACCUGGGGUACCAGGUCUCACGUCCAACUUUGACAUCUACACCUUCAAGGAGGAGAUGAAGGGAGAGAGAGGAGACUCGGGGAUGAAGGGAGAGAAGGGCGAGCCAGCCGGAGGAUAUUAUGGUGGAGGUUACGGUGGACAGGGUGGUCAGCCUGGACCUCCAGGACUUCCAGGGCCAAAGGGAGAGUCCAUCAUCGGUCCUUCAGGGCCCCAGGGCCCUCCAGGUAACCCAGGAAGAGGGUACGAAGGCAGGCAAGGGAACCCAGGCCCACCGGGGCCCCCCGGACCUUCAGGAUCAUCCUCCUCACCUGGAGCCUACAGGCCAACACAGAGUGAGGCGUACUCUCUCACACACACACUCAUACAUACAGUACAUAGGCAGAAACACAACUUUCUGGUGACAUGA
rnacentral:lncRNA from 8 species